UUAAUUCAAGCAACAAUACCU
ensembl:piRNA 21ur-13092 ncRNA